AUGGCCUUGUCCUCUGAUUCUUAUAAUGACUUGCCUCAUUUCUCUAAGAUGCAGGUGAUGCCACAAGUUCUUUAUCCUCCUGAUCAUCUUCCUACGCAGGGUCGAACUCUUAAGUCGGAUUUGCUCAUUACGGGGACCAAAAUAUUUUCUGACGCUACUUUCAGAAGUUCAAAAGUUCCUGGUCUAUUACAGGGAGCAGUUGCUACUGGAAUAGGAGUCUAUCUUGUUUUGCCUCAAGAUCGUUUUGAAAUCAAUGUGCAAAUUCAAGCAUUAGCUCCUCCCACUACUUCUCCUCUACAUGCAGAAGCUCUGGCUCUUUCUUUUGCAGCUCAAGUGGCUAGUAAGCUCAAUAUUCUUCAGCCAACCUUUCUCAUGGAUUGCCUCUCUUUAUCUUUGGUGGCUGCUACCGGCAAGAUUGUGGAAUCUACCACCCCUUGGAGCAUCAGGAAGCCUUUGGCUGAUUUCUUCAAGCAUGCUAACAGCUUGCAACCUCGAGUGUUUCACAUUUCUAGGGAAAUUAAUGGCAUAGCACACAAUGUAGCUUAUUAG
rnacentral:rRNA from 1 species